UACCAUGCAGUCGAGCGGUAACAGGGGGUGCUUGCAACCCGCUGACGAGCGGCGGACGGGUGAGUAAUGCAUAGGAAUCUGCCCGAUAGUGGGGGAUAACCUGGGGAAACCCAGGCUAAUACCGCAUACGUCCUACGGGAGAAAGGGGGCUUCGGCUCCCGCUAUCGGAUGAGCCUAUGUCGGAUUAGCUAGUUGGUGAGGUAAAGGCUCACCAAGGCGACGAUCCGUAGCUGGUCUGAGAGGAUGAUCAGCCACAUCGGGACUGAGACACGGCCCGAACUCCUACGGGAGGCAGCAGUGGGGAAUAUUGGACAAUGGGGGGAACCCUGAUCCAGCCAUGCCGCGUGUGUGAAGAAGGCCCUCGGGUUGUAAAGCACUUUCAGUGAGGAAGAACGCCUGGUGGUUAAUACCCAUCAGGAAAGACAUCACUCACAGAAGAAGCACCGGCUAACUCCGUGCCAGCAGCCGCGGUAAUACGGAGGGUGCGAGCGUUAAUCGGAAUUACUGGGCGUAAAGCGCGCGUAGGUGGCUUGAUAAGCCGGUUGUGAAAGCCCCGGGCUCAACCUGGGAACGGCAUCCGGAACUGUCAAGCUAGAGUGCAGGAGAGGAAGGUAGAAUUCCCGGUGUAGCGGUGAAAUGCGUAGAGAUCGGGAGGAAUACCAGUGGCGAAGGCGGCCUUCUGGACUGACACUGACACUGAGGUGCGAAAGCGUGGGUAGCAAACAGGAUUAGAUACCCUGGUAGUCCACGCCGU
rnacentral:rRNA from 1 species